GCUAGCUGUGAGGAUCAGAAGUAGUGGCUCAGGGAUUACGGCAGGAAUCCGGCAUUGUUCUGGAGAGACAGUCCGAUGCUGGUAAAUUGAAAACAGCAGACAAGGACCAACCCUGCAAUCCACCAUCUCCAGCCCCUUGGCCCCAGCUUGGGACAACCUCCCCUCCCAGUCGUCACACACGGUCCAAGCAUUGGCAGGAGGUUCUGGUUGGUUGGAGUUAGUUUAAAUGUGAAAGGUUACUGCGGUGGAACCUGUCGAGCAGAGGGGGUAUCAGGAUCAAAACGACAGAGCUGGGAUGUACUGAGAAGGUACCACUAGGCCUGAAUCUCAAGGCCAGAGUCUGGAGCACCAGGCCAGACUACACUACAACCUGGUGGGCCUUAACCUCCAGGCAGGUCCAGACUACACUACUAGAGGUUACCUGAGGAGAGCCCCACCAUGCCCAGGAAAAGGAAGAGGAACAAGAAGAGGAGACGGACUCCAGAUUUCAACAGAGAGCCAAAGUUCUGCCCACUCUGACUCUGGUCCCUGUCUCCAGUUAGACUUCUCGUCAGUCCUGCUACUCUGUCCUGGAUUCCCCACUCUACUCUCCCUUGGAUUCCCCUCCGGACCUGCUUACCCUGUCCCAACACCUCUCGCUCCAGCAUCAGCCUCCGCACCUGGUUUCCGGCAACCUGCCCGUGCUUCCCCUGGCCUGCACUCAAUCUUCCCCCCGUGUUUCAAUAAAUACCUUGGUUACCUCA